rnacentral:rRNA from 1 species
GACGAACGCUGGCGGCGUGCUUAACACAUGCAAGUCGAACGGUAAGGCCCUUCGGGGUACACGAGUGGCGAACGGGUGAGUAACACGUGGGUGAUCUGCCCUGCACUUCGGGAUAAGCCUGGGAAACUGGGUCUAAUACCGGAUAGGACUCCGGACUGCAUGGUCUGGGGUGGAAAGCUUUUGCGGUGUGGGAUGGGCCCGCGGCCUAUCAACUUGUUGGUGGGGUGAUGGCCUACCAAGGCGACGACGGGUAGCCGGCCUGAGAGGGUGGCCGGCCACGCUGGGACUGAGAUACGGCCCAGACUCCUACGGGAGGCAGCAGUGGGGAAUAUUGCACAAUGGGCGCAAGCCUGAUGCAGCGACGCCGCGUGAGGGAUGACGGCCUUCGGGUUGUAAACCUCUUUCAGCAUCGACGAAGCGAAAGUGACGGUAGGUGCAGAAGAAGGACCGGCCAACUACGUGCCAGCAGCCGCCGUAA